rnacentral:lncRNA from 11 species
CCGUCCACAGUAGCCAUUGACAACGAAUAAUUCGCCAUGUUAGCAAUGGGCUCAAUUUGACUGAAAGCUCAUAAAGAAACGGAUGGAGAUUUCGGAUUAACAGAGAGCGUUAGCUGCUGAAGGUCCUCCAGAGCCUCAAGUACGAGGCCUCAAGAAUCAAAAGUUGAUUCUUUACAAUCUGCGUAUAAUGCUUCUAGCUGCUUGCAUUCUCAUCUGUUUUCAGACAAGCGCUCCCAGUAAGGAUCAGCUACUGCUGCUAAUCAAUCAGGCGAUCCCAUACUAAGAAAGAUACUUGACUUCUAUCAACGACAGAUAUAACGGCUGAUGGAGCAGGCACCUCAGUUCAUAUUGUACCCACCAUGUCACGUGUGAUCUGGGAGCAAAACCUGCGAGCGAUGUCGUAUGUCUCUGAUUGGACAGCUGCUUCAACCUAGGCUACCCCUGAAGAAGUCCUAUGCACAUCGACAGCACAGAGUGUGGCAAUGCGGACUUCAAGGACGCUUUCAUUACGGCCUGAAUUGCAAAAUGCGCAACCGAGCGAUAUUCUCCAGAUGUAAAUUGGAUUCACAAUUAUUUUUGUAUAUCGUUAUUUAUGAUUCCCAUGUUGCCAUUUAAAAAGGGCGAUAGCUGAUGCGACGUAUUUUACGAUCGAUCACGAGAUAAGGUAUGGUAAUAAAUGCUGCAAGUAGACAAAU